ACUUCGCGCAAUCGUCUUGGCCAAUUUUAUUUUUCGUUGUGGCCAACAUCUCAAUCGCCCUUUCACAUCACUAUUCGCUUGCUGCAGCUGUCUGGUGCAGGUUGCUGCAUCUCCGUACGAACAUUUCAGAUUGUACCAACAUGGCGGACGGCGGAAUAUCACUUCUGGAAAAGA